CUUCGCUUCACUCUCUCUCAACGGUCUUGGCGAACUCAACGACGGCGGCGGCCAGGGCACUUCUCCGGUGGUUUUAAUCGACUCCUGUAAACCAACGAAUCAGCUCAUCGGACCGGACACUCUCGUCUCUCUCCUCACGCAUCGGACGCGGCGGCGCAAAUGGAGAGCUCUAACUUCUCCGAUGCAGCAAAUCUCCGGCCACUAUCGCCUUCGAAUCAAGUCCCUCACCCUCUCGCUAAGUUCUCCCGACUCGUAUCUUGCAGUGACGGCAAGAGUUCAACUUUCUCCUCCGACGAGAAUCUCGCCGUACCGCGAUGAACAAUCUUGCUCGUGCUUCUCCUUCAGCCUUCUGCGUACCGAAGCUUGUGAUGCGUUGUUGUUGUGAUGCAGAUUGUUUAACAAAUUGGAUGUUGAUCACUUUCUGAAGCAGGUUCAAGAAUCGUUUGCGAUUGUGGCGAUGCCGUUUCGUGAAGCAAGUGAAGAUUGACGAUGGAGUUGCUUCGUGACUGCUGCAACUAUGAAUCGCGAUGGUCGAAGAUGCAGAUAAGGAGAAGAUGAUGAACGAGUUGCAGAAGAGAAGGAAAAAAUGAAGAUUUUGGUGAAGCUUCAAUUAUGGAGGAAGUGAAGAUGGUUUUGAAGAUGGUGAAUGAAGUGGCUCUGAAUUGAAGAUGGUGAAAAAUGGUUGAGAGGGAAGCGAUGAAGAAGAUUGAAGAUGGAAAAUGGAGAGAUGAAUGGCGUCGAAGAUGAUGAAAUGAUGGAGAAGGUUAGAGAAAGAGAUGAAGAAUGGGAGAAGAGCUUCUGAAUUGGAGGGAAGUCUGAUUUAUAGGAGUUGAAGGAGGUUGGAGAGUUGGUUGUGGAUGCAUCUCAGCCUUUGAUUGAAGAAGUUUGUUAUACAAUAGAUGGAGAAGAUUGAACCUGGUAGAGAGGUUAUUAACAACUGAAGAGAGUGGCUGUGGGUUUGCAAACUAUCUUGAACUGGUUUAUUGAAACGGGUUGGAACCGGCAGAUUUACGGUUACGAAGCGAAGUUGAACUUGACUUGAGGAGCAAGAGUGAUGGGAGGUGGUGAAGCUGGAGACUUGGAAACA